UUGGUUGGGUUCUUUUUCUUUAUUGUUUUCUGGAAAUAGAAGUAAUUAAGUAUAGAUACUACUGGUUUGUUUCUUCCAGUAGCUGAUAAUACUAAUACCAAUAAUAAUAAUAAUAAGAGUAAAGUAAUACUACUUCAACUGUCUUUAUUUAUCCAUUGGACUGGCCAUUUUAAAUCUAAACUUCUAAACACAAAUCAAACCAUCAUCCUUGUAGAAUCUUUAAUAGGAGUGGGCUAAAGAUCCUGGUUUUGUUGACAGGAUUUAUUGGUUCAUGAAGAGCAAGAGGUAAGUACAAGCCUAACUACCCUCUAGCUCACAGACCUGCCCGGUGAAUAGAGCUUUGUUUUUUUGAUGGGCUUGUGAUGACUUUGAAAUCAAUUGCUCAUUCAUUACAGUAAAAAAAAAAAAAAUUGUUUUGAACAUGACAGCAAAAAUAACUUUAAGCACAACUUAAUAAUAAUAGAUCACCAAUUUUAGUUAAUAAUUUUAUGCUAUACUCUUGGGUGAGGGAAGACUCGGACACUCAAUAUGAGAUCAGCAAGCUAUGUUUAUUGCAGAGAGUAUCAGACACUUAUAUAGCACAUAAUAAGCUUAUGAAUAUUCUGUAAGCCAAGCGAUCUAUUGGUUAAACUAUACCAUCAACUCUUCCUCAUUCCUUUGGGCCUACAUUCCCUAUUUCCCACGUCUCUCUGUCUACUUGUUAUCCUACCCAGCUAGGCCCAGGCACACGCUAUCUUGCAGGUGCAAAACUCAAAAAUACCUGUGUUCGGUACUUUCCCAGCUCCUGGUCGGCUAACGAGCGAAUGUCUGCGUGACCUCUGUCAUGGAGCCAUUUCUCCACACUAUACUAUCAAAGUUUAAAGGUAAAUUAUUAUAUAUUAGGAGAUGGUGUAAAGUGUAUGUUGUAAUGUGUAGGAUAUAUACAAAGAUAUGUACUUGAAAGUCCGUAGAGGAAACAAAUUUUUACGCCUUCUGUUUGACUGUUUGUCAUAUAUUUGGUUUUAUUUCCCAGGGAUCAGUGAAUUUUAACUCUGGAGUCCUCUAUGCUAAGGAUGCUCAGCUUACAGAUGAUGAAAUGUUCAGUAAUGUAUUUGCUGGAGCUGUGCUUACCCAAGGUUUGGGUAAAACAAGCUUUGGGUUCCCUCUGUCUCACUGGGAGUUGCCCAAUUCAGUUCCAUCUGGUGAAAUUCACCCUGAGACCUUACAGAACCAGCUACAACUACGUGAGAGCCAUUUGCAGUUCUCUCCAGACGCCUGGAGAAUGGGUGACGUUUCUGAGGAUCCGGCGAGCGUGCUUCUAUCAAAACUCAGUCUGUGAAAUUUCUGGGGAAAACCCUUCUGUGUCCUGAAGGGUUCAAACUCUGGUGAGGAUCCAGUUAUCAGGUGCUCACCUGGAUGGUUCCAGCUCCCAAAGGUAACACUUGUACUCUUGCCCUGUAGUUUACAUCUAUUGUAUUUUUGUUAUUUUGCAGGAUUUUUUGUCUUUGCAAAAUAUUGUGCAUUUCACUCUUUGGAACCUCUCAGAUGGUUCUUUGGUGCAGCACCACCCCAGGGGACACUUGGCUGCUGUCCUGAAGGGGUUGGUGGCUAGAAUUGUAAAUCCUGGCGAGUUUAUAAGUCUUCUGUCCCCAGGGAGGUGUCGUGCUUUGUUUACUUUUGUUCUGUUGGUUAGGUGCUGCUUCUCGUUGCAAGUACGAAUUUCAAACUGCCCUGUUCUUAUUUUAACUGUUUUCCUGGUUCUCUCCGUCCGGCAGGGAAAGACUCUCGUAUCCUUGUCGUCGGGCUCGGUGCUGUCCAAGAAGAUACAGAGACUAAAAAAAUCAUAAGAAGGAAAAUAUGACUGCAGGGAAAAGAAGCUGGAGAGAACAGAAGACAUUGCUCCACUCCCCAGAGGAUUAUUGUGAGCAGAUGUGAGCUCUGCUGUCCCUUUGGACUGACAAAGACAGAGGUUUUGUCCCAAGUUGCUUUUGAACCUGUCCUGCACCUGUUACGAGUCCUCAGUCUCCUGCAAUUUUGUGGGUCAGUCACAUGUAAAACAGCACAGCUGGCUGGCAUGCUUUGCUCAUGAGGGGAGACAAGAGAAGAAUCCCUCUGCUCACACCAGACCUGCAGCUGCCAAACCUCACCAAAGCACCUGAGGAGCCCCCAGGGACUGAUGGUACAGAAGGGAGGUGAUGGAGGACAGCACAGCAGGCAGCCUGCCCUCCAUCUGGGUGUGAAGAAGGCAGGGCUGGGAACUGUAAGCAACAUCCCAGCAGGUCUGGCUGAUGGUGCCACCCUGAGGGCUUCCCCUGCCUUUGGGCAGUCCCAGCUGCUGCAGCUCACUUGACAGAGACUCAUUGUCUAUACUGUGCUUGGCUGCAGUGGAGAUGAUGAAGCCGAGGACAGCAAUGGUUGCCUUCACAUCCCCUGACUGCAGAUGGGAAGGAGGGCGAGCUCUGUCACCUUGGGAAGGCGUCUGCAGAGUCACUGCUGCCCGUCUCUGGAGCGUGGCUCCAUUGGGGGACCGUGGUAAGGACAGCAGUGCUCACUUAACUGUGCACCUGAGGACAGCUUCAGGAUCUUGUCAUACUGUGGGAGAGCAGAGCUUCACAGUAAACACCAGCUAACACACUGACUGCCAGUGUUAACACUAACAGUUCUUACCUAAAUAUUAAUACUAGUAACACUUACUAUGCGUAUUAUUAAUCCUAGUAGAGGCUGGUAGCGUUCUUUAGGCUGAGGCUUGCAUGAAGAAUACAAAAUUAAUUAACGUUGCUGAUUAUGCUAUUGUGUUGAAAUACUUGGCCUCCACUGCGGUAGCCCCACGCUUACCUCGAUGGCCUGCCCCAGCAGGUCCCAAAACACCUGGAUGCAGAUCAGCUUAAGCUUCACUGAUGUGAUAAACAGAGUUCACUCUUUAUAAUUUUUAAAAUUUUAAUAAAGGAUAAAAGGACAAAAUAAUCCAGCACUGGGAUGCUUUUAGCACACAGCCAAAGAGCACAGAGGUAGCUUAAAAACAUGUUCACUAUAUACUGUUACAUUGCUGAGGUUACAGGCAUAUUCAUUAACUUACACAUUAUUCAAACAUUCCUUUGACUUUUUGAUGUUCCAGGAACUCUCUUGUUUGGUUUUAACCUCUGACUUGUCUGCAGAACGUUCUGUAAAUUAGGUCUACAUAUUUUAUUUCUUCCUGUAGUUUUAUCCUGUUGCUUCACACUCCCUGAUAACACUGGUAAGAGUCGAUAAAUCCUUCUUGGAUGCUUAAGCUCUUUUUGUGUCACUAUUAUCUUAUCACUUGGUAGGGGCAGUCUGCAGUUAUAAGAAGCAGAAUAAUUGCUUUACACCAUUUUCUGAGUUAGUUACAUAGAAGUAUUUUAGUUUCUAUUUUAACAUUUUGCUAAAGCCUACCAUGUAUUUAUCACGCUACUAUUCAUAUGAAAUAUACAGUGCAUACAUAAACUGGCAUAUUACACUAUACAAAGCAGUUCAAAGUAAGAAUAAGUUUUACCACAUCAAAAUACUUGUAAUGCAAAAAGCUAAUCUAUGAAUGUGAAAGCCAGUAUUGUUUUAUCAUCUAUAACAUCCGACGACGAGGGUGAGCAGCGGGCCCGCAGCAGGCGGAGGGCGGGCAGGGGGACGCGGGCACUUAACUUUGGCCAGGGUGCUGAUCUCGGCCAGUCGGGGCAGGCCAAGUCCCCGCAGAAGCGGAAGCACUGCGGUAGAAGAGGCACCCAGAGCCCGCAGCGGGCGCUGCACGCCCUCCCCGCUCCCGAGCCCUCUCCUCACCAAAUCG